AUUGCUCCAAUUUCCAUCGACUCUGUUUUCCCCAGCCUUGAGGUCUCCUUCCUCCCCUAUAAAAAGCUCAUCACUGCCUGUCAUCCUCACUCUCUACGCUCCUCAACGAGGCAACACUCCCUCGCUCUUACCUCCGCGCGUCUCUUUAGCUCCGGAGCAUCGCGCUGCCAACAUGAGGUUUAUCGCGUCUGGUGCCUUGUUGCUGCUGCUGCUGUGUGUUGUGGCCGAAUCAGAGUGUUCAAGCUACGUACCGUGGAGGUGCCCCCCAGUGAAUCCUCACACUCAAUGCAUCCACUACUACAAUAACUGCAUACUGUACAAGCCUUUCUCCUGUCGUCGUGGCGAACAAUGCUGUCCCGGACCGUGCGGUACCCAGUGUGUCCCGAUUUAUUACCAUUGAAGCAUUCCUCCAUGACGAAGGUCUCGUGUGCUGCGGUGCCUCCUCUAUAGUAAACCCACCAUGAGCUGCCGCCGCCGCCGCCGCUGCCCCACACUACAGUCAACAAUUAUGGUUUAUAAUCUAAGCUUUCAAGGAUAAAAUGUAGACAUGAUAUUGUACUGACCAUCGAAAAAAAUAAUAAUAAAUAAAAUUAUUUA